rnacentral:miRNA from 1 species
AGAAAGGAUUGCUAAGAAGCAGC